rnacentral:rRNA from 1 species
CCUACACAUGCAAGUCGAACGGUAACAGGAAUCAGCUUGCUGCUUCGCUGACGAGUGGCGGACGGGUGAGUAAUGUCUGGGAAACUGCCUGAUGGAGGGGGAUAACUACUGGAAACGGUAGCUAAUACCGCAUAACGUCGCAAGACCAAAGAGGGGGACCUUCGGGCCUCUUGCCAUCGGAUGUGCCCAGAUGGGAUUAGCUAGUAGGUGGGGUAACGGCUCACCUAGGCGACGAUCCCUAGCUGGUCUGAGAGGAUGACCAGCCACACUGGAACUGAGACACGGUCCAGACUCCUACGGGAGGCAGCAGUGGGGAAUAUUGCACAAUGGGCGCAAGCCUGAUGCAGCCAUGCCGCGUGUAUGAAGAAGGCCUUCGGGUUGUAAAGUACUUUCAGCGGGGAGGAAGGGAGUAAAGUUAAUACCUUUGCUCAUUGACGUUACCCGCAGAAGAAGCACCGGCUAACUCCGUGCCAGCAGCCGCGGUAAUACGGAGGGUGCAAGCGUUAAUCGGAAUUACUGGGCGUAAAGCGCACGCAGGCGGUUUGUUAAGUCAGAUGUGAAAUCCCCGGGCUCAACCUGGGAACUGCAUCUGAUACUGGCAAGCUUGAGUCUCGUAGAGGGGGGUAGAAUUCCAGGUGUAGCGGUGAAAUGCGUAGAGAUCUGGAGGAAUACCGGUGGCGAAGGCGGCCCCCUGGACGAAGACUGACGCUCAGGUGCGAAAGCGUGGGGGAGCAAACAGGAUUAGAUACCCUGGUAGUCCACGCCGUAAACGAUGUCGACUUGGAGGUUGUGCCCUUGAGGCGUGGCUUCCGGAGCUAACGCGUUAAGUCGACCGCCUGGGGAGUACGGCCGCAAGGUUAAAACUCAAAUGAAUUGACGGGGGCCCGCACAAGCGGUGGAGCAUGUGGUUUAAUUCGAUGCAACGCGAAGAACCUUACCUGGUCUUGACAUCCACAGAACUUUCCAGAGAUGGAUUGGUGCCUUCGGGAACUGUGAGACAGGUGCUGCAUGGCUGUCGUCAGCUCGUGUUGUGAAAUGUUGGGUUAAGUCCCGCAACGAGCGCAACCCUUAUCCUUUGUUGCCAGCGGUCCGGCCGGGAACUCAAAGGAGACUGCCAGUGAUAAACUGGAGGAAGGUGGGGAUGACGUCAAGUCAUCAUGGCCCUUACGACCAGGGCUACACACGUGCUACAAUGGCGCAUACAAAGAGAAGCGACCUCGCGAGAGCAAGCGGACCUCAUAAAGUGCGUCGUAGUCCGGAUUGGAGUCUGCAACUCGACUCCAUGAAGUCGGAAUCGCUAGUAAUCGUGGAUCAGAAUGCCACGGUGAAUACGUUCCCGGGCCUUGUACACACCGCCCGUCACACCAUGGGAGUGGGUUGCAAAAGAAGUAGGUAGCUUAACCUUCGGGAGGGCGCUUA